rnacentral:rRNA from 1 species
AUCGAACGCUGGCGGCAUGCCUUACACAUGCAAGUCGAACGGUAGAGGAGCAAUCCUCGAGAGUGGCGAACGGGUGAGUAAUGCAUCGGAACGUGCCCAGUAAUGGGGGAUAGCCCGGCGAAAGCCGGAUUAAUACCGCAUACGACCUAAGGGUGAAAGAGGGGGAUCGCAAGACCUCUCGUUAUUGGAGCGGCCGAUGUCAGAUUAGGUAGUUGGUGGGGUAAAGGCCUACCAAGCCAACGAUCUGUAGCUGGUCUGAGAGGACGACCAGCCACACUGGGACUGGGACACGGCCCAGACUCCUACGGGAGGCAGCAGUGGGGAAUUUUGGACAAUGGGCGCAAGCCUGAUCCAGCCAUGCCGCGUGCGGGAAGAAGGCCUUCGGGUUGUAAGCCGCUUUUGUCAGGGAAGAAAUCUUCUGGGUUAAUACCUCGGGAGGAUGACGGUACCUGAAGAAUAAGCACCGGCUAACUACGUGCCAGCCGCCGCCGUAA